GCCGGCGUAACUCAGUUGGUAGAGUAUCUCACUCGUAAUGAGAAAGCCCGCGGUUCGAAUCCGCGCGCCGGCU
rnacentral:tRNA from 1 species